rnacentral:misc_RNA from 1 species
GAUGAAGAACGCAGCGAAAUGCGAUAAGUAAUGUGAAUUGCAGAAUUCAGUGAAUCAUCGAAUCUUUGAACGCACAUUGCGCCCGUCAGUAUUCUGGCGGGCAUGCCUGUUCGAGCGUCAUUACAACCCUCAGGCCCCCGGGCCUGGCGUUGGGGAUCGGCGGAAGCCCCCUGCGGGCACAACGCCGUCCCCCAAAUACAGUGGCGGUCCCGCCGCAGCUUCCAUUGCGUAGUAGCUAACACCUCGCAACUGGAGAGCGGCGCGGCCACGCCGUAAAACACCCAACUUCUGAAUGUUGACCUCGAAUCAGGUAGGAAUACCCGCUGAACUUAAGCAUAUCAAUAAGCGGAGGA